rnacentral:rRNA from 1 species
UACAGAGGUCCCAAGCGUUGUUCGGAUUCACUGGGCGUAAAGGGUGCGUAGGCGGUCGGGUAAGUCUGGCGUGAAAUCUCCAAGCCUAACUUGGAAACUGCGUUGGAUACUAUCCGGCUCGAGGAAUGGAGGGGAGACUGGAAUACUUGGUGUAGCAGUGAAAUGCGUAGAGAUCGGAAAGAACACCAACGGCGAAAGCACUCUGCUGGGCCGACACUGACACUGAGAGACGAAAGCUAGGGGAGCGAAUGGG